rnacentral:rRNA from 1 species
GGGGGUAGAAUUUCAGGUGUAGCGGUGAAAUGCGUAGAGAUCUGAAGGAAUACCGGUGGCGAAGGCGGCCCCCUGGACAGAUACUGACACUCAGAUGCGAAAGCGUGGGGAGCAAACAGGRUUAGAUACCCUGGUAGUCCACGCUGUAAACGAUGUCUACUUGGAGGUUGUGGCCUUGAGCCGUGGCUUUCGGAGCUAACGCGUUAAGUAGACCGCCUGGGGAGUACGGUCGCAAGAUUAAAACUCAAAUGAAUUGACGGGGGCCCGCACAAGCGGUGGAGCAUGUGGUUUAAUUCGAUGCAACGCGAAGAACCUUACCUACUCUUGACAUCCAGAGAAUCUAGCGGAGACGCUGGAGUGCCUUCGGGAACUCUGAGACAGGUGCUGCAUGGCUGUCGUCAGCUCGUGUUGUGAAAUGUUGGGUUAAGUCCCGCAACGAGCGCAACCCUUAUCCUUGUUUGCCAGCGAGUAAUGUCGGGAACUCCAGGGAGACUGCCGGUGAUAAACCGGAGGAAGGUGGGGACGACCGUCAAGUCAUCAUGGCCCUUACGAGUAGG